GGCGUGGUGUAAUGGAUAACACAUCAGUCCGGUCUACUGAAAUGCUGGUUCGCUCCCAGCCGCCA
rnacentral:tRNA from 1 species